rnacentral:snoRNA from 1 species
CUGGAGUCAAAGUGGCACAUUUUGCGAUCUUCCUGUGACUUGUGUCUCAAAUACUCCAAUAUCAACUCAAAGGACGAACGGCAUCCUGAAUAAUCAAUCAUAUUAUAGCAGAUGACUUGUGUUCGUAUACAUU